UGCUCCCUACGGGACGCAGCAGUGGGGAAUAUUGCACAAUGGGGGAAACCCUGAUGCAGCGACGCCGCGUGAGUGAAGAAGUAUCUCGGUACGUAAAGCUCUAUCAGCAGGGAAGAAAAAAAGUCUUUGGCUUUGGACGGUACCUGACUAAGAAGCCCCGGCUAACUACGUGCCAGCAGCCGCGGUAAUACGUAGGGGGCAAGCGUUAUCCGGAUUUACUGGGUGUAAAGGGAGCGUAGACGGAAUUGCAAGUCUGAUGUGAAAAUC
rnacentral:rRNA from 1 species